rnacentral:rRNA from 1 species
GACGAACGCUGGCGGCGUGCUUAACACAUGCAAGUCGAACGGAAAGGCCCUGCUUGCAGGGUGCUCGAGUGGCGAACGGGUGAGUAACACGUGGGUGAUCUGCCCCUUACUUUGGGAUAAGCCUGGGAAACUGGGUCUAAUACUGGAUAGGACCAUGCUGUAGGUGGUGUGGUGGAAAGAUUAGUUUCGGUAAGGGAUGAGCUCGCGGCCCAUCAGCUUGUUGGUGGGGUAAUGGCCUACCAAGGCGUCGACGGGUAGCCGGCCUGAGAGGGUGGACGGCCACAUUGGGACUGAGAUACGGCCCAGACUCCUACGGGAGGCAGCAGUGGGGAAUAUUGCACAAUGGGCGCAAGCCUGAUGCAGCGACGCCGCGUGGGGGAUGACGGCCUUCGGGUUGUAAACUCCUUUCAGCCAUGACGAAGCCCUUGUGGUGACGGUAGUGGUAGAAGAAGCACCGGCUAACUACGUG